AUGUAAACUGCUUAUGAAGAGGUUACAACUGAGUUAGAAGAAUAUAAGGAAGCCUUUGCAGCAGCAUUGAAAGCUAACAAUUCCAUGUCAAAAAAAUUAACGAAGCAAGAUAAGAAAAUAACAAUGAUCAGCACCAAGCUCCUUAUGGAGAAAGAGCAGGUGAAAUAUUUUCUCAGCUCUCUUCCUACAAGGUGAGGCUGAGAGUCACCUUGUGUUGAAAAUCUUACUAGUAUAGGACUCAACAGAAAAUAUAUUCCCCAAAUGCCAGUAAGAAUUCCUACUUCAAACCCUCAGACUUCAAAUAACUGCCAGAACUACUUGACUGAGAUGGAGGCAGACUGUGUAGAACAAAUAAUUAGAGAAACAAAGAGAACUGUUGCUGUGUUGGACACUUGCUCCCAUCUACUUUCUUCUCUAGAAUCCACUGCAGAAGUGGAGCCAAUGAGGAAGCACAGGUGAGCCCUCCCCAGCGUGUACUCACUGGUCCCCAACAGAAGAACUGCUGCCACAUCCACUGAGGGGAGUCCCGGUCCUCGGCUGCUCCUCAAGGGAGACCCCUUUCAGAGCAGGACAAACAGGCCAGGCGAUGUCAGGAGACCAGGUCUCCAGCUGGAGGGAACGUCAACCCUGCAGUGGGAGCAAGGGCCCAUUGCACAUCCUAGGCACAGAUGGUAACGUAGGCACCACAGGUAAGCUGGGCUUAGUACCCCUUCCUGGCUUCAGAAAGAAGCCAAACAAGGAGCUUUCUGCAGAAUGAAACCUCCUUUCCUUCCAGAAGCACUGCUGACUGGUGCUUGUUGUUUGUGGCAGUGAGCCCUUUGUUCAUUCUGCGGUUGGGCUGCUUUCUCCUCUGGGCCCUGCCCUGCAGAUCAGAAAGGAGAACAGUAAGAGGUCCCCAGCAAACAUCCAGAGAUGGCCCUGGAGAUAAGUCACCUUCUGAGAAACACGUCAUAUUCUAGGAGGGCUAAGGCAUUAAGUAAGUCUUAUGGGGUUGGAGGAUCCCAGGGCAGGUGUGGCAAUCCAUAGCCAUGGGGGCUUCCCACGGGAAUUGGGAGGUCCCAAGGCAGAGUCAGGGGUUCCACAGGAGGAGUCACAGAGCCACCAAGGGCUCUCCUGGCCCAGGAAGCAGUCAAUACCAUGGACUGAACACCUGCUGGCUCCAAGCCCUGGUCCAGGAUGGGGCAUGUGGGGCCUGGAGGGAGCUCAGAGUGGGAGGCAGAGAGAAGUGUGCUCAGAGGGCACCCAUUUCUGCAUGUAACGUGGUCCUGAGAUUUUUGCUGGGAAGGGUUUCCAGGGUUUCAUAUGUGUUAUGGAGCUACUUCCUCUCCCCAGCCUCACCCUGCAGGAAUCCAGUGACUAUAUUGCCGCCAGUGUACCCAUUCCUGAGGGGUGAUGCUUCUACAAGGCCUGUGACUUGGUGCACAACUUCAGACACCAUCAUCCUGAGCAAGUGGGCUUCUCCGGGAUCUUAAUUCAGGAGGUAGAAUGCAGCUUGAGAUCAACUGUCCGAUCAAAGAACUUGAACUUGAUCUGGAGUGCUUUGGGGAGCCAUGGAAGGUGCUGGAUAAAGGAGGGGCCAGUCAGAUACGUGUUAGAGAUGACUGUAGAAGGCUGACUGGAAUGAGUGAACAAGAGCAGACCAGGGAGGGAGCUUGUGGGGGAGGUCUGGAGAUGGCAAGGGAGGGAUCCUGCUUGGAUGAACAGUCUCCAGAGACUGUCUCAGGUUACAAUCAGGUGCCCUCAGAGCUAGUGUGUUCAGAGGUCUUGUCUCCAGGAUGAAAAUGGGAAGGAGUUGUCAGAUGAGGACGUGUAAAUGGAGGCUGGCCUGUUCAUGAAUGCCAGUGGUGGUCCUGGUGUGGGGCUACUAUGAGAACAGGGGUCUCUCCAUCCAGGGACAUGGUGGAUGGACCCUACAUCACUCCAUUCUGCCCUUUCCUUCCCUCCUCCCAUUCUACCGAGGGCCUCACUGCGUUGGCACUCUCCAUCCUCUGGUACUGAAGCAGCCAAGAGACACAAACCUGCCUGGCCACCUUUAGAAUAUGACAGCACAGCCAGUGGCCUCUACUGGAUCCUGUACAACCUCACAAGACCCCCAGACACCAGGAGUGCUGCUAGAACAUGGUGCAAGAGUCCUGAGGGACCACAGUCCUGAAGACAUUGAAUGGUGAGUGCAGGGCCUCAUGGCCUGUUCUCCAGCCCUUCUCAUUGGCUCUGCUCCAGGUGGUGAAGGGGGAAAAUGUUUUUGUCAAUUCUGCCAUGAUUGCCUAGCAGGAAAAGUAGCAGAGCCCAGAAGCAAGGCCUGGUACCCAGCCUGCAUAAUGAGGAAAAUUUGUAGGCUUUGUGGACAGAAACAUAUCUAUCACCCACUAACUCUGUAAGACAUUAAUAAAAUCAGUUUUCUUUUCUGAACUACAUUUCUGCCACCUGUAAAUUGAGGGGAAUUUCUUCUACCUCACAAAGCUGCUUGGGGAAUGCCUGACAGUGAAUGUAGAGCAGGUGGCACCCAGCCAGCAUUUGGUGUCCAGACCACUCCUCUUCCCCCUUGAUUUUCUGCCUAUAUUUGCAUUUUGUUCCUAAGACCUUCACUCCCCUUUAUUUUGCUCUUCCCUCUGAUUCCCACCUUAUCAUCGAUCCCAUGGAUUCACCAGGAUUGAAGCAGGUAACAGUCAUGUAUGCAUGUAUGUGUAUGUACAUAUGCCCUGUAUUGGUGUUGGAGUGUGGGGUGUGUGUGUGUGUGUGUUGGAGUCACUGAGUGACUGAAACAGUCCACACCAGCCUGUGUUCCUGCUCAUUGCUGGAGGUGUUGUCAGCUCCCCUGCCCUCAACCCAAGGUCUAACCCUUGCAGUGCAGGCAGGGCGUUCAGGAGGAAUCAUGUCUUUGGAAGGAGCCCUGAGGAGUGACUGGUGGGUAUUGGUGGAUAAAUAUCCCAGCUCCCUUGCUUUUGGUGGGAUGACUCUGAGAUACAUGUUCUGUGCUGUCUCUCAGAAGUACCUGGCAGGGCUGAGUCUUGGCUGCCACAGUGGAAACUUUCCUGAUGAAGGUCCCUUUAACUGCUGCAUUCCUUUCCUGUCUCAGUUCCCCACUCCUCUUCUGGUGUUUCCUGGGAUUACCACCCUAAGGAAGAACUGGCAGUAGAAUUACUGUCCGAGAGUCAUCUCCAAACAAAAUUUUUGUAUCUGAAUCUUUUCCUCUGGAUCUACUUCCAGGAAACUCAAACUAAGACACACAUUUUUCAGUCAGCUCCUACAAUCCUCAUAGACCUGUGAUUGUGCUGAGGAUCAGAGAGGGAAAGUCACUUGCCCAAAGUCACACAGCUGAACAGUGGUGGAGUUCAACUUUGACCAUAGGCUGUCUGGUCCCAAGGUGGAUGCUUGCUCCUCUGGCAUGAGACUUCUCUCUUAUCAGGGUCAAAUGAAUGAAUGGAGGCUGUUAAAAAUUUGGUCUCUGAUGCCUGUGCCAGAGGCUCAUGGUUGGUGCCUGUGUUCUCAUUCUUACCUCAUUAAGAGUAAUAAUGAAAAACAUGCUCAGGGCUGACUGUGCCUCGGGGUGUUGUUGUAGGUACUUUGCUUACUUUAAUUCAUUUAAUUUUCACAAUAACCUUGUUUUUACUUUUAGUUUUUAGGUGAAAAAAACUGGGGCAAAGAGCAAUACAAGAGAGUUGCCGAAAUUCGUUCUGCUUGUCCAGGUUUGAAGCAAGCAGUCUGCACCUAGUGUCCUUGUCUGUAACCAUGGCACCCUGGUUUCUCACACAUCUCAUAAUGGAGUUCCACCUUGUGUCAAGCAUGGCACUGAGCAGUUUAUUUUAAGAACAUAAUUUGUAAUUAUGUAGAUUACUAAUUCUACUUCAAAAUGACACACAGUCUUCAUGUGAUAAAAGGAAACAAUUGGUAAGUGUAAGCAUUGAGAACAAACAUUCUUUUUUCCGCUCCCGACUCCAUUCCAACGUUCAGACAGUGUUUUCUCUGUGCCUGUAGAACCUCAGCUCCUGUGCCGAGGAGCCUGGUCCCUUUGGCAAAGCAGUGUGGCAGUCAGGUGCUGGCAGGAAACUCUCAUCAGCUGACGGGCCAUUAAGAAGGAGCUGUUUACAACGGCGUGGGCAGGAUCAGGGGGAACGAGGAGGGAUGGCACAAGGCCCUGGGGUUAGGGUCAUCUGGGAACUGUCACCACCCCCCAGUCUUGUGGAGCCAUAGAGAAGCUUUCUCAGGAACUCAUAGGGAGAAUCUGCAGCUGAAAGGGGACGCCAGAGGAGACAUCACUCUCUUGCCCUUUGACUGCGUCUGGAUGCCCCUACUGACCAACACUACCAUCCCCUUAUUAGACUGGAGAGGCUGCCGGGAGGGUUUCUAAGCCUCCUAUUGUGGCUCACCUCCAACAGUGAGUCAGCACCGGCUCUCCUGGCCCGACAGCCCAGGUUCCCCUUAGCCGCUCUAUCCUGCAUGGUCCCCUUUCCCGCUGGGAAGCAGAUACCCAAAUGAGCAGCAGAACCCUGUCUCUCCCAGCAGGCCCCUCUGCUCUUUAUGAGUGGUUUUCUGGGUCCCCUCCCUUGGUUUGGGAUGAGAAACACCCUUUUCAAUUCCACAGGGAUUGUUUCUGUGGACUGUACCCUGAGUGUUUCCCUGGUGGGGUAAUGGGCAGGUGGGAGUGGUGGUACCGACUCUUUAGAACCAGCAAUGCCAAACAGAUCCCACUCGGGGAAAGUUCAUGCUAAGUGUCAUGUGUCCUCUGGAAUUUUCUGAAGCUUUCCAGCUUUUUUAUUACCCCCCUAACCAGCUCAUCUGAUUUCCAGGGAUCUCUACUAAGAUGUUGGCAGCCCGGCCAGCUGGUCUGGCCAUGGAUGUGACUUCAGGGGCUGGUUAUGCUUCAUGCACCUGCUUCUAGCUUCACUGUUGGGCCAGAUUUCAUCCCCACCCCAGCUCUGCAGCGCAGCUGCUUCUUGAUUCCUCCAUGGACCCUGCGUGAAAUUACCCCAUGUUUCCCUUUGUGCACCACUGAGGAAGGAAGCAUGAAGGACACACAGCCAUUUUGCAGACCCUGGUCACAGUGAAACAUUCCAUGGGAACUCGGGCUGUGAGAAACAUCCUUCCUAACCACAUGACUGCAGGAACAUCCUUAUCGCAUCCUCCCAGGCAAAGGUCCAACAGCCUGACUGCAGGGACAUCCUUGCCGUUUCCUGCUGGGCAGCAAGCUCUACCACCCAGACCCCUCCCUCCCAUCCCAUGAUUACCUCAGCCUGUGAGCGGCAGUUGGCGCUGGCACUAAGCUGGUUCACCCCUCCUCAGGGUUUUGUUGGCAAUAAAAGUGUUGCUGUUGAAGCCGC